rnacentral:lncRNA from 1 species
CGGGCUUCAUGGUGGGGCUGGGAUGGACCCCUGGUAGGAUCGUAGGCAAUGUCGCUUGCUCUGCCACGUCAUUAUACGCGAUCCAGGGCAAGAGGAUAUCAACCAGGACACAGUUGUAUCCCCAUUGCAACGCAGAGGUUUCAUAUAACAAAAGAUAUUAUUCUCUAAUAUGAAUCUGUAAGAAAAGAUAUGUCAUACAUUUGUGGAAAUUGAUAAUGUAAGCUAAUCUCAAAACUUUAUUUCAAGAUUGAUUACUCGGUGGUGCUAACUUCCAUUUUCUCAAAACAGGAUGUGCAUGCUAUUUCUGAAAAGAGAAGCUUCUAUGUUGGCUGGCAUCCCUGGUGGUAGUUUAAGAUAUCUAGCAAAUGAAAGGGCGCCUCAUAAUUCAUUGGAUAUAGACCAGUAGGGUCAAUUACAUAUAGUUGGCUGUAAAUGACUUUCAGUUUCUAGCUUAAAUAUAGUUUUAGAUAUCUAGAUAUGUACUCUUUAACAGUAUGAUGUGCUUGAUGGUGGCCCUAUGUGUUGGUUGAAAUUAUCACGUUCUUUACGAGCAGUUGCAGUGCUCUUAUUAUUUUAUUUCCACAAAUAUCAUCACAUUUUCCCUCAAUCUUAAGAUAUGAACUAUGCUGCUCCUCCUGGCCUGUGUGUUGCUUCCGCUGGAUGAUGCUCUGUUUUAUGUUUGUUUGGACAAGGUCCAAGACCUGGCUGAUGUACAGUUUUGACAUACAAUGAUCUGCAUAUGUAUGUCUUUAUUUGGGUUAUAGACAGGAUACAAAUAUUGUAUGUCAGUGUGGAACACCGUACGCCUUUUAACUCAUUCUAGGUGUUCAUUCAAUCUGAA